rnacentral:rRNA from 1 species
GUGAGGAAUAUUGGUCAAUGGGCGGGAGCCUGAACCAGCCAAGUCGCGUGAAGGAAGAAGGAUCUAUGGUUCGUAAACUUCUUUUGCAGGGGAAUAAAGUGCAGGACGUGUCCUGUUUUGUAUGUACCCUGAGAAUAAGGAUCGGCUAACUCCGUGCCAGCAGCCGCGGUAAUACGGAGGAUCCGAGCGUUAUCCGGAUUUAUUGGGUUUAAAGGGUGCGUAGGUGGUUUGAUAAGUCAGCGGUGAAAGUUUGCAGCUUAACUGUAAAAAUGCCGUUGAAACUGUCGGACUUGAGUGUAAAUGAGGUAGGCGGAAUGCGUGGUGUAGCAGUGAAAUGCAUAGAUAUCACGCAGAACUCCGAUUGCGAAGGCAGCUUACUAAGCUACAACUGACACUGAAGCACGAAAGCGUGGGGAUCAAACAGGAUUAGAAACCCUAGUAGUCC